AGCAGUGUGGCUCAGUGGAAAGAUCCUGGGCUUGGGAUUCAGAGGUCAUGGGUUCUAAUCCCAACUCUGCCA
rnacentral:tRNA from 1 species